ACUUGGCUUAAAAGUGUAUGAAUAGAUGGCGACAGAAUCGCUGUGUUGGAAAUUUUCUGGGGAGGUUUAGGUGGUGAAAACGAAAGGUAUACCGUAAAAAUUCCUCACAAACUCGCGAGGAUGUUUACCGUGCGGUGGUUAUUUCUCCGUGGUCUUUGUUUGACCGAGAGCUGUAUGCAUUCGCGAGAACCGCCUCUGCGCAUGGUGUCAUCAUCUACAGACUUGGCCAAUAGAUAGUCGUUCAGGUCUACACUCAGUGCCAAUGGAGCGGCACAAGGCGCUGUUGAGCUGCAUGACUUUGUGUGUGAGCUGAUGGCGACCUGAUCGCAUGCGAGGAGUUCUGCAAUGUUGCCAACAUCGGAAGUACAUGCCACAGUGGAAAAAUAAGAAGUGUAUGAACUGGUCUCCAGAUUUGCUAGGCAAAUCAAUAAGGCUGUGCUCCUUCUGCAAUAGAUGGCGCAAUACGUAGUGAGCUGUGCCCCAGGGUAUUGUCGGCUUGCCAUAUGUGUAUAAGGAAAGCGCAGCUGAACCAUUGAGGGCAAUAAAAUGGAUUUGUUGACAUUUUU